GUCUGGAACAUAUUAUCUAAAAGAGCUCGGAGGAGCGGACCUUCCAUGAUCAUGAAAUUCGAAAAAUUUACGAAUGUACUACUGAUAACUUUGCCUUAAAUAAAAGUUUUAUAUUCGCAUAUCUUUUCUUUUGGCAUGAGCUUAUAACAACAGGAAGUAGCUCCUUCAGACAAUCGAAACUAAGCGUGUCAGGAACAAGAGGAGAACCUCAUCCCGACACAAAUGAAGGUCCGAUUAUUUAGAGACCGGAUGGGGAGAGAGGUCAUCGCAACGGCCCUUAUGCGCCCCCACAGCCAUGUUAGGAACAGGAGGAGAACCUCAUCCUAACAUGAGCAAAGUCGAAGAUCUGAUUAUUAAGAGACUGGAUGG
rnacentral:lncRNA from 1 species